rnacentral:lncRNA from 1 species
UAGGUCAGGACAGAUGUCUGUGUUCUCAGAGUCUAUGUUUCACAUGCUUCGUCUAGCCUACCUACCACCUGUUGUUGCAAGAUUUGGUCCCCAGUGAUCAGAUAAAAGAACAGUACUAUUUUGUGAUAAUAAAAAUAGUAUGAGAUUCAAAUGUCAGUGUUUAUUAGAUAAGGUUCUCUCAGGCUCCAUGCACAUCCCUGCACACAUUUACCUGCAGCCUCUUCUGAUCUACAGCAAGCUCAGGGUUAAUAGUGACUGCCCAUUGUCACUGAAAGAUUGGAUUUCAUCUUGUAAUUGAGUGGAAACAGGGAGCCACUGGCAUCAUCCUGUACAGCGAUCCAUAAAGAGGAAAGAAGCUGGGCAUAGUGUCACACGCCUUUAAUCCCAGAGGCAGAGGCAGGCAGAUCUCUGAGUUCAAGGACAGUCUGGUGUACAGAGUGAGUUCCAGGACAGCCAGGGCUACCCAGAGAAACCCUGCCUCAAUAAAUGACAACAAUAACAACAAAAAGAAAGGAAAGCAGUGGAUGAUCAUGUUCUAGAAGAGCGUGGGUCAGAGGUCUGAGUAUUUCCACCCAGCACUGUCAUCUCAUCAACAGGGUUAGAGACACAGUGAAGGCCCUGACACGGGAACAAGAGAAGCUCCUGAGACAGCUGAAGGAAUUCCAGGCAGACAAGGAGCAGAGUGAGGUAAGAGACUCCUAGUGGGUUUGCUUGCUUUCUUUUUGGUUUUCGAGACAGGGUUUCUCUGUAUAGCCCUGGCUGUCCUGGAACUCACUUUGUAGACCAGGCUGGCCUCGAACUCAGAAAUCCGCCUGCCUCUGCCUCCCGAGUGCUGGGAUUAAAGGCAUGCGCCAUCACACCCGGUGUGGGUUUGCUUUCUUAGUUAUACAGCUAGUGUUUGUUGAGUCUCUUCUGAAUGCUGGGCACACACAAGGGUGAGAUGUGAAGGAGACCCUGUGCACCCCCUGCCCCACAGUGUAGUACCUGCCCACAUCACAAGCAGUCAAAAGUGCAAUAUAAAUGUCCCAAGAAAAGCCUAAUACAACCUCACAGGGUCCAGAAAGGUGGGAAAGAACACCUCUUAUUAGACUUAGAAACAGCUGUUAAGUGAGGACCUAUAGUGCUGGUGUAAGAGGAGCCCUGGGACUGGCCAGCCAGUCUAGCCAGUUGGCAGGUAGAGAACAAUUGUGGAAGACACCCAAGAUCAACCUCUGGUCCACCUGGCUCAUGUGUCUGCACAUGCAUACACGCACACACACAAACACACACACUCACACAAGCACAUGCACAUGCAUACACACACAUACACACUAAUGCAAAGGCUAUAAAAAAGGAGGAAAUAAGAGCCAGACAUGAUGGUGUGCUUGGCGUUUGUUCUAUCACUCAGGAAGCUGAGGCAGAAGGAUCUUUUACUUCAAGGCCAGCCUAGGCUGACACUAUGUCAGUAGGUAGGAAAGAAGAAAGGAAGGAAUUCAUAUUUUAAACACUUUGUGUCACAGACAAGUAAGUAGUCAGUGAUAAGUUUUUAAACUGUCAACUUUACAGCUUCGGUUUACUCUUCAAUUUGCUAGAAAAUACAAAAGAAAUUUAAUUCUGAAUUAACCUAAAAGCACACAUCAGUGGAUUAGUGCUCUCCAGUGUGUUCACUGUGUCCUGACAGACUUUUAAAAACAGUUUUUAAUCAUUUAGAGCAAGUUCAGAGCUUAGAUUGUAGUUCAGUGUUAAGCAAGGC